AAGGUCGUAACAAGGUUUCCCGUAGGUCAAGUUUAGCCUGCCACAGCGGGUCAACCUCGCUAGUCUCCGCUGGAGGCGACACGCUCAACCUGUGGGAAGGCCCGUCCCGGGAAACUCCACAGCCCAUUCCCUUGCCCGGAAGUCGGUUUAGAGGCUCAAUGAGCGUGGGCUGCUGAUCUCAGCGCUUGAGAUAGAGUCCGUCCCAGCUGGUAACCGCUGGGGGACGAACGGAACCUGCGGAAGUCAUUACAGAAUUGACGGCUUUGCGAAGCCCAGAUUCUACCCCGGUGAUAACUAUCUCUGUUGCUUUGGGCAGGCGCCUGCGCCUGCCAGAGGGAAAAAGCCCCUUUGAAUCUCUGGCCGUUCUGAGUCCGAAUAAAAAGUUAGUCAAAAAU
rnacentral:misc_RNA from 1 species